CAAACACUGCAGUAAAUUUUUGAUUAAUUUUGUUUUGCGGUUUCCAUUGUAUUCAAGCCUGUCUCCUACAAAAGGAGAACAAAACAAAACAAAAGAAAAAAGACAUAUAUGAUCUUAUCCAUUCCAAGAAGGGAUUUAAGUAAUUUAGAAUUAGAUGUGUGCCUUCCCUAAGAAAGAUAUUAUUUUACAGAGGCUGUCCAAAGUUAGGGGAUAUUUUUUUUUCCUAAUUGAGUUCUUAUUUAGCCUGUAGUAUAGGAAAAACUUGUCAGUUAAGGUGAUACAGUAAUACUUGUACAGACAGUGCAAAGAGCAAGUUGAGUACAGCAAAACUGCAGUUCACUACUUCUUAAGUCUUUCCAUAAUUCAUUUUCUGCUUUCCUAUUUGUCUUUCAUCCCAGUCAAACAACUCGUCUAGUUUAAACUAGAGUUCCAAGUCAAACAGCAAUCUGAUGUUGUGGUUUUAACAAUUACUCUCUUAUCUUUUCACUGAAAGGGUAGCACCAGAGGAAAACAAAGAAUUACUGGUUGCCACACCUUCUUCUACUACAAUGAUGGAUGGUCACUACAUUUAUAUCUAAAGCAUAAGGCACAGGAGUGCAUCUCAGAUAUUGGGACUAGGAGACCAGCCUCUAAGAGUGAUUUAGAAACCAUUUGCUAUCCUUUCCAUUUGCUUAAAAGGGACGACAACCAGGAUUUCAGAGUCUAACAUUAUGAAUUAUUUCUGUAUUUGGAGCAGUAGGACUAUUAAUAUCCAUACCUUUUGUUGUUAUGGAAAAAGACCAAAAAAGAACAAGAUUCAUAAUGAGAAUACAGUGAUAAGAACAUAAAGAAAAUGUAACGACAAAAUGUAAGACAACAGCGUACAGUGCAGGAUGGUAAACACUCCAAUCAUAAGCCAGGCAAUAAAGAAAAAAUAAGGAAGAACGUUCUUUUAAAUGCCUUACAGAAUCUAAAUAAAGAGCAUAGGCAAGCCUUUCUUCUAUAUUUCAGAAAGGAAAGUGGAGCAGGUGUCUUAUACCAAAUAGCACCACCAACAAAACCAACAAUAAAGAAAAACAAAAGUCAGUAAGUCACAGGGACAGUGGAACACACAUAUUUGUUCAAGACAAAGGUCCCUCAAGCUCGGUAACCCUGACAGUGGCCAGUACCAGAUGCCUAUGGAAGAAGACAGGACAUAGUCCGAAGCUUACCUGUGUUUAAGAAAAAUGGUAAAAUGACAGUCAUUUUUAUGUUGGUCAGAUAACUCCAAUAAUAUGUAAAUUCCAUCAUGUUUAAACUAUGCAUCUCUUAUAAACAAUUCUUUCCAUUAUCAACAGAGUAGUGAAACCUGGUUUCUUCAGAUGCAUGGUUCCAGGUUUCUGGUGUCUAAGAAAAGUGUGAUUAGACCAAAGCUUUCCAUUGGCUGGAGUCACAACACUGGUGUGCUUUACAGAUCCUGUAGUAUCUAGUGAUUUGUGAAACUUUGCUGUAGGUUAUUAGGGGCUCUAAUAGAUUUUCUGUUUCUUCUUCUGAUUUUCAUAUUUUGAGACCCCUAAAUCUACUUGUCAAAUUGGU
ensembl:lncRNA